GAUGAAGAACGUAGUGAAAUGCGAUAAGUAAUGUGAAUUGCAGAAUUCAGCGAAUCAUCGAAUCUUUGAACGCACAUUGCGCCCGCCAGUAUUCUGGCGGGCAUGCCUGUUCGAGCGUCAUUUCAACCAUCAAGCCCCCGGCUUGUGUUGGGGACCUGCGGCUGCCGCAGGCCCUGAAAAGCAGUGGCGGGCUCGCUGUCACACCGAGCGUAGUAGCAUACAUCUCGCUCUGGGCGUGCUGCGGGUUCCGGCCGUUAAACCACCUUCAUAACCCAAGGUUGACCUCGGAUCAGGUAGGAAGACCCGCUGAACUUAAGCAUAUCAAUAAGCGGAGGA
rnacentral:misc_RNA from 1 species